rnacentral:rRNA from 1 species
AGGGAAUCUUCCGCAAUGGACGAAAGUCUGACGGAGCAACGCCGCGUGAGCGAUGAAGGCCUUCGGGUCGUAAAGCUCUGUUGUUAGGGAAGAACAAGUAUCGGAGUAACUGCCGGUACCUUGACGGUACCUAACCAGAAAGCCACGGCUAACUACGUGCCAGCAGCCGCGGUAAUACGUAGGUGGCAAGCGUUGUCCGGAAUUAUUGGGCGUAAAGCGCGCGCAGGCGGUCCUUUAAGUCUGAUGUGAAAGCCCACGGCUCAACCGUGGAGGGUCAUUGGAAACUGGGGGACUUGAGUGCAGAAGAGGAAAGCGGAAUUCCACGUGUAGCGGUGAAAUGCGUAGAGAUGUGGAGGAACACCAGUGGCGAAGGCGGCUUUCUGGUCUGUAACUGACGCUGAGGCGCGAAAGCGUGGGGAGCAAAC